UGAGGAAUUUUCUGCAAUGGGCGAAAGCCUGACAGAGCAAUACCGCGUGAGGGAUGAAGGCCUAUGGGUUGUAAACCUCUUUUCUCAAGGAGGAAGAUAUGACGUUACUUGAGGAAUAAGCAUCGGCUAACCCUGUGCCAGCAGCCGCGGUAAUACAGAGGGUGCGAGCGUUAAUCGGAGUGACUGGGCGUAAAGGGCAUGUAGGUGGUCUUGAAAGUCUACUGUGAAAUCCCUGAGCUUAACUCAGGAAGUGCGGUGGAUACUCCAAGACUAGAGUAUCGGAGGGGUUCGUGGAAUACCCGGUGUAGCGGUGAAAUGCGUAGAUAUCGGGUGGAACACCAGAGGCGAAGGCGGCGAACUGGACGAUUACUGACACUCAAUUGCGAAAGCGUGGGGAGCAAACAGGAUUAGAUACCCAAGUAGUCCCUGAGCGGGCUGGCAAGGCGCAU
rnacentral:rRNA from 1 species